CAGUGGCGAACGGGUGAGUAACACGUGAGCAAUCUGCCCUUGACUCUGGGAUAACUGCGGGAAACUGUAGCUAAUACCGGAUAUUACCUUGGAAGGCAUCUUCUGGGGUGGAAAGAAUUUUGGUCAAGGAUGAGCUCGCGGCCUAUCAGCUAGUUGGUGAGGUAAUGGCUCACCAAGGCGACGACGGGUAGCCGGCCUGAGAGGGUGACCGGCCACACUGGGACUGAGACACGGCCCAGACUCCUACGGGAGGCAGCAGUGGGGAAUAUUGCACAAUGGGCGCAAGCCUGAUGCAGCAACGCCGCGUGAGGGACGACGGCCUUCGGGUUGUAAACCUCUUUUAGUAGGGAAGAAGCGACUGGGUUUUCCUGGGAGUGACGGUACCUGCAGAAAAAGCACCGGCUAACUACGUGCCAGCAGCCGCGGUAAUACGUAGGGUGCAAGCGUUGUCCGGAAUUAUUGGGCGUAAAGAGCUCGUAGGCGGUUUGUCGCGUCUGCUGUGAAAACCCGAGGCUCAACCUCGGGCCUGCAGUGGGUACGGGCAGACUAGAGUGCGGUAGGGGAGAUUGGAAUUCCUGGUGUAGCGGUGGAAUGCGCAGAUAUCAGGAGGAACACCAAUGGCGAAGGCAGAUCUCUGGGCCGUAACUGACGCUGAGGAGCGAAAGCAUGGGGAGCGAACAGGAUUAGAUACCCUGGUAGUCCAUGCCGUAAACGUUGGGAACUAGAUGUGGGGACCAUUCCACGGUCUCCGUGUCGCAGCUAACGCAUUAAGUUCCCCGCCUGGGGAGUACGGCCGCAAGGCUAAAACUCAAAGGAAUUGACGGGGGCCCGCACAAGCGGCGGAGCAUGCGGAUUAAUUCGAUGCAACGCGAAGAACCUUACCAAGGCUUGACAUAUACCGGUAACGCCUGGAAACAGGUGCCCCGCAAGGUCGGUAUACAGGUGGUGCAUGGUUGUCGUCAGCUCGUGUCGUGAGAUGUUGGGUUAAGUCCCGCAACGAGCGCAACCCUCGUCCUAUGUUGCCAGCACGUAAUGGUGGGAACUCAUGGGAUACUGCCGGGGUCAACUCGGAGGAAGGUGGGGAUGACGUCAAAUCAUCAUGCCCCUUAUGUCUUGGGCUUCACGCAUGCUACAAUGGCCGGUACAAAGGGCUGCGAUACCGCAAGGUGGAGCGAAUCCCAAAAAGCCGGUCUCAGUUCGGAUUGAGGUCUGCAACUCGACCUCAUGAAGUCGGAGUCGCUAGUAAUCGCAGAUCAGCAACGCUGCGGUGAAUACGUUCCCGGGCCUUGUACACACCGCCCGUCAAGUCAUGAAAGUCGGUAACACCCGAAGC
rnacentral:rRNA from 1 species